UGUGACCCUUAGUAGGAGGUAUGUCUCUACAUCACACAGUGGGAGCCUGAAUCUAGAGAUGCCUGGACAUUCUUUCUCGCCUUCUACACAGCUUGGACACAGAGAUCAUCCUGAUGUUCACAGAUACAGUGUGGAGACUGUACAGUGGUAUCCUCAUGACACUGGCAUGUUCACAUCAAGCUCAUUUGAUAAAACUCUGAAAGUAUGGGAUACAAAUACAUUACAAGUCACAGACAAGAAAUAUUAGCAGUUUCCUGGUCUCCACGUUAUGACUAUAUCUUGGCAACAGCAAGUGCUGACAGUAGAGUAAAAUUAUGGGAUGUGAGAAGAGCAUCAGGAUGUUUGAUUACUCUUGAUCAACAUAAUGGGAAAAAGUCACAAGCUGUUGAAUCAGCAAACACUGCUCAUAAUGGGAAAGUUAAUGGCUUAUGUUUUACAAGUGAUGGACUUCACCUCCUCACUGUUGGUACA
rnacentral:lncRNA from 1 species